rnacentral:tRNA from 1 species
AACCCUGUGGUGUAAUGGCAGCACAACUGGUUUUGGUCCAGUUAGUCCAGGUUCGAGUCCCGGCAGGGUUGCCA